UUGAUUACGUCCCUGCCCUUUGUACACACCGCCCGUCGCUGCCCGGGACUGAGCCAUUUCGAGAAAUUUGGGGACCGUUGAUUUAAUUUUUCUAAAUUACUUUGAUGGAAACCAAUUUAAUCGCAGUGGCUUGAACCGGGCAAAAGUCGUAACAAGGUAGCUGUAGGUGAACCUGCUGCUGGAUCAUUACUUUAUGUGAUGUUCAAAUUUGAAUUCGCAAUGAAAUGAUCGUUGUGAAACGGCUGUCGCUGGUGUCUAAGUGUUGCUGAUACGGUUGUGAACGUCCGUGGCUGUAUAUGUGGUGACAUGUUAGGACUCUAAUGAGUUUAAGACCUAAUGAGCCUCUUAAGUGAGGCCGCCAGCAACCUUUUUUUUCUCUACAUUUUAAAAAAAAAAACUAAAAUUCUACCCUUAUCGGUGGAUCACUAGGCUCGUGGAUCGAUGAAGAACGCAGCAAACUGCGAUAAUUAUUGCGAACUGCAGAAGUAUUGAGCACAAAAGUUUUGAACGCAAAUGGCCGCAUUGAGGUCAAACUCUUUGCAACGUCUGGUUCAGGGUCAUUUUCUCUUAUAGCGGAAGCUUUAAUUUCUAUAAUGAUGUUGUUGCUUUAUAUUUUAAAAGGAUUUUUGUUUAUUCAUGUAUUAAAUCUAACUGUGAAAAUCAAACAAUUUUGACCUGAACUCAGUCGAGAGCACCCGCUGAACUUAAGCAUAUCAGUAAGCGGAGGAAAAGAAACUAAAUAGGAUUCCCCCAGUAACGGCGAGUGAAA
rnacentral:rRNA from 1 species